ACGCUGGCGGCGGCCUAACAAUGCAAGUCGAGCGCGACCUUCGGGUUGAGCGGCGGACGGGUUAGUAACGCGUGGGAAUAUGCCCAAAGGUACGGAAUAGCCUCCGGAAACGGAGAGUAAUACCGUAUGUGCCCUUCGGGGGAAAGAUUUAUCGCCUUUGGAUUAGCCCGCGUUAGAUUAGGUAGUUGGUGGGGUAAUGGCCUACCAAGCCUACGAUCUAUAGCUGGUUUUAGAGGAUGAUCAGCAACACUGGGACUGAGACACGGCCCAGACUCCUACGGGAGGCAGCAGUGGGGAAUCUUGGACAAUGGGCGCAAGCCUGAUCCAGCCAUGCCGCGUGAGUGAUGAUGGCCUUAGGGUCGUAAAGCUCUUUCGCCAGGGAUGAUAACGACAGUACCUGGUAAAGAAACCCCGGCUAACUCCGUGCCAGCAGCCGCGGUAAUACGGAGGGGGUUAGCGUUGUUCGGAAUUACUGGGCUUAAAGCGCGCGUAGGCGGAUCGGAAAGUUGGGGGUGAAAUCCCGGGGCUCAACCCCGGAACUGCCUCCAAAACUAUCGGUCUAGAGUUCGAGAGAGGUGAGUGGAAUUCCGAGUGUAAAGGUGAAAUUCGUAGAUAUUCGGAGGAACACCAGUGG
rnacentral:rRNA from 1 species